AAAUUGAAGAGUUUGAUCAUGGCUCAGAUUGAACGCUGGCGGCAGGCCUAACACAUGCAAGUCGAACGGUAACAGGAAGCAGCUUGCUGCUUCGCUGACGAGUGGCGGACGGGUGAGUAAUGUCUGGGAAACUGCCUGAUGGAGGGGGAUAACUACUGGAAACGGUAGCUAAUACCGCAUAAUGUCGCAAGACCAAAGAGGGGGACCUUCGGGCCUCUUGCCAUCGGAUGUGCCCAGAUGGGAUUAGCUAGUAGGUGGGGUAACGGCUCACC
rnacentral:rRNA from 2 species